GAAUUCUACAGAGAGAGAGAAAAGAGAGAGAAAAGAGAGUGGGGGGAAGUGAGUCGAAUCACCGAUUCCGUCAAGUCCGCUUCCUCUCUUUUCUUUCCCUCCUUGAAAAAACACACCCGGAUCCACUCACCUCAUUGCACCCGCGAAUUUCGAUUUAUUCUCCAUAGAGAUAUGCAAUCUGGACAGAGAAAGUAGAGAGGGAGAGAGGGGGAUUUAUUACUGUGAGCUUGUAUUUUUAGAACGUUGGGAUCGGAGGGUAAAAGUGGGUUUUGCUAAAAACAUUUGGAGGGAUUUUUGUUUUUUAGUUGUUGGGGUUUUUGCUUUUCUAGGGUAAAUUCAAUUUCUGCAAGGCACCAGUGUGGUAAAUUUCGGGUUCAAUUGCAUGCAAUCUGGGGGCGGAGGAGGUGGUGGGCCCAGCCGGAAUCCUGGAAUGGGACCGGCUGGUCGGGCCCCGUCAACAUCAUCUGCUGCAUCUCCUUCUUCUUCAUCGUCCGCUGUUUCUCAGCCGCACCUUGGUUUUGAUUCAGUGCAGCAGCAGCAGCAGCAGCAACAGCAACACAUAGGGUCUAGGCAGGUAAG
rnacentral:lncRNA from 1 species